rnacentral:lncRNA from 1 species
UUGUGAUUUACGUCUAAUGCUUUGGAACUGCGACGGAACCUCGGCCGGACCUUGACGAACAACGACCUUAAUGGAAAUGGAUCAUGGCUGGACUCAUUAUCCCUCUCCACGAUAGCCGAAGCAGCUAAAGCUGCUGACUUAACUGUGGAAGCAACAGUUGAGGCACCAGAGGAUACAAUCUUGGAGAGUGCUCGAAAUGAACUAGCAAAAACACCAUGCUUGCCCCUCCCUGACCUAGGCACUACUCCACCUUCAAGAGGUGGUUUUUGG